rnacentral:sRNA from 1 species
GGGCAGCCAGUGCCAGGGCCGUCAUGGCCAGCGCGUGAGGGACAGGAGUGAGGGGCCAGCACCAGCAUGAAGGUGUAGUCCCAGGCACGCAGUGGGUGCCCAGACGCACCCCCAGUCCACUGCCCAGGGCUCCUGCACCACCUCCCCAUGUGCGGUCCCUGUGGACACUGGCCUCGGGCCUGCUCACCGUCUGUGGGGCACCGAUGCCUGCAAAUCUGCACCACCUCCUCCCUAGGCCGAGACUCCGGAGCUCCUUGCUGGCUCUGCCCGUUUUCUCAGCCCUGGGGGUUCUGUAAAAGCUCUCAGGAUUCCUGUAAUCCUGCCUCCUUUCUCUAAGGCUGGCAGCCUGGCAGACUAGUUCUUCUCGGUGCUGAAUUAUGUACCCCGCUUCCCCUCCUCACCCGCACUCCUGUGUCUUACGUGGGUCCUGGGGUCUGGCAAAGCCUGUUCUCCCCACUCGAAAUGAAGUCAUUUCGAAGUCUUGUCUUUCA